rnacentral:tRNA from 1 species
GGUAAUAUAGCUCAGUGGUAGAGUGUAUGCUUAGCAUGCAUGAAGUCCUGGGUUCAAUCUCCAGUACCU